AGCUUUGCACAGUGGCAGUAUCGUAGCCAAUGAGGUUUAGCUGAGGCUCAAUUAUUGCUAUUUGUGAGGCAUUUUUAUUUGUAAACCCUGGGUUCCUCAUCUUCCACUUCUCACCCUACCCCUUAUAGUAUGUGCUCAAAACACAUUUGUCAUUUGAAUUAGAUUGUCCAUCAGGAU
ensembl:snRNA U4 U4 spliceosomal RNA